rnacentral:rRNA from 1 species
AGUGAACGCUGGCGGUAGGCCUAACACAUGCAAGUCGAACGGCAGCACAGUAAGAGCUUGCUCUUACGGGUGGCGAGUGGCGGACGGGUGAGGAAUACAUCGGAAUCUACUUUUUCGUGGGGGAUAACGUAGGGAAACUUACGCUAAUACCGCAUACGACCUACGGGUGAAAGCAGGGGAUCUUCGGACCUUGCGCGAUUGAAUGAGCCGAUGUCGGAUUAGCUAGUUGGCGGGGUAAAGGCCCACCAAGGCGACGAUCCGUAGCUGGUCUGAGAGGAUGAUCGGCCGCACUGGAACUGGGACACGGUCCAGACUCCUACGAGAGGCAGCAGUGGGGAAUAUUGGACAAUGGGCGCAAGCCUGAUCCAGCCAUACCGCGUGGGUGAAGAAGGCCUUCGGGUUGUAAAGCCCUUUUGUUGGGAAAGAAAAGCAGCAGGUUAAUACCCCGCUGUUCUGACGGUACCCAAUGAAUAAGCACCGGCUAACUUCGUG